GUGCCUGCUUCAGCAGCACAUAGAUUAACGCUGGAAUGAUACAGAAAAGACCAGCAUGGCCCCUGUGCAGGCAUGAUGUACUAUUUGUGAAGCGUUCCAUAUUUAA